AUGCUUCCGUAGGGUACCUGCGGAGGGAUCAUUACUGAGUUUACGCUCUACAACCCUUUGUGAACAUACCUAUAACUGUUGCUUCGGCGGGUAGGGUCUCCGCGACCCUCCCGGCCUCCCGCCCCCGGGCGGGUCGGCGCCCGCCGGAGGAUAACCAAACUCUGAUUUAACGACGUUUCUUCUGAGUGGUACAAGCAAAUAAUCAAAACUUUUAACAACGGAUCUCUUGGUUCUGGCAUCGAUGAAGAACGCAGCGAAAUGCGAUAAGUAAUGUGAAUUGCAGAAUUCAGUGAAUCAUCGAAUCUUUGAACGCACAUUGCGCCCGCCAGCAUUCUGGCGGGCAUGCCUGUUCGAGCGUCAUUUCAACCCUCAAGCUCUGCUUGGUGUUGGGGCCCUACAGCCGAUGUAGGCCCUCAAAGGUAGUGGCGGACCCUCCCGGAGCCUCCUUUGCGUAGUAACUUUACGUCUCGCACUGGGAUCCGGAGGGACUCUUGCCGUAAAACCCCCCAAUUUCCAAAGGUGACCUCGAUCAGGUAGAUCUAUCU
rnacentral:rRNA from 1 species